GUCGAAUGCUGGCGGCGUGCUUAACACAUGCAAGUCGAACGGAAACACCCUGCUUGUUGGGUACUCGAGUGGCGAACGGGUGAGUAACACGUGUGUGAGCUGCCCUGCACUUCGGGAUAAGCCUGGGAAACUGGGUCUAAUACCGGAUCGGAGCCCGUUUCAGUGCGAUGGUUGGAAAGCUUUUUCGGUGUAGGAUGGGCUCGCGGCCUAUCAGCUUGUUGGUGGGGUAAUGGCCUCCCAAGUCGGCGACGGGUAGCCGGCCUGAGAGGGUGGACAGCCACAUUGGGACUGAGAUACGGACCAGACUCCUACAGGGGGCAGCAGGGGGGAAUAUUGCACAAUGGGCGCGAGCCUGAUGCAGCGACGCCGCGUGGGGGAUGUCGGCCUUCGGGUUGUAAACUCCUUUCGCUAGAGACGAAGCUUUUGUGACGUUACCUAGAUAAGAAGCACCGGCUAACUACGUG
rnacentral:rRNA from 1 species